GAGAGGACAUUUGGAGUUUUUCCUUGUUGACAAGAGCUUGCUGGAUUGAUGACAUGACUUUGUUUCAUGUAAUUUAUCCUACAGUUCUUGUUUAAAAUUUCAGGUCAGAGUUAACUUGUGUCAUUGUUACAUCAAGUCCCCAACAAGCCUUGGAAGAAUGUCCCUCUUUCCUAAGUCUUGCCAAGGUUUUCUCCAAUAUUUUCUAUCCAAUUUUCUCUUUAGCUGCUAUAUUGUUCAUAUUAAAACUCUAGUCUCCAGUUCCAGAGCCACUUCAUACCAAUCCACUCUUUUACCAGUACACUCUUCGGGACAGAAGAACCCAAUUCACUGCUCAAUGAGGACGACGCUGAGAUCCGUCUCACAUGUGAUGCAGUCACAUUAAAAUCCCCAGAGGCAGACAUCCUGCAUCUGAAUGUGCACAAGACCAGCAGCGUGAGCACAACCAGAAGAAGAAGAAUGCUCACUAAAAGAAGUUGGAUGAUGCUCAACUGACCAUGUAUCAGGUGAGUAUUUUGUCUAUAUAGUGCUUCUCGUUUGCGACUCCUCUGAUCAUGUGUUUGCUCACGUGUAGGUUCUCAUUGGUGCCUCCAGCAUUCCUUGUGCUCAUCCUCCUUCUGAUGCACCACACCAUCUCCAAAUGAUCAUCUCCAGCCAGGCAGCAUUCGGACCCCACAGCUCCCAUUCAUUGAUUGUUUGUUAAUAAAUGUACUUGUUUUGUUGUUAGAACAGCUCUCAGUGUUCUGCAUUUUGAUCCAUAUUUUCUUCAAUGAAAAUCUAAAGUCACCCUAUUUUUAUCAAUAACAAUACCAGCAGACAAAAUGAGAAUGUGCAUAUAUUUCAAACAUAUAGCUAUUAAUAGCCCGUAAUUGUGUGAUCACAACAGAAACCUGCAAAACGAAAACAGGCCACAUUUAAGCAGUCUGCUCUGAUGCACAUUAGCCCAAGCCAGAUGCUUGACAUCAUUUCUUGACUUCGUCACUGUUUGGGGUCAGAUUCUGAGCUGUGGGAAUUCUCAGGAUAGAGUGAAGGUUGUGUAUCAGACAGAUGACUGCUGUGUGAUGUUUUGUUCAUCUUCAUCACAGAGAGUUGCUCAGUAGGUUACCAAACAUGCAGAGAAUUUGAGCAGCAUGUAGGUGGAGCUGAGGCAUCGUUUCAGGGGUGAAACAAAGGAACUGUGCAGCACCCACAGACACAGACUUUGCCUUGACCGUGUCACCAUUUUGGAGUUUGAUCAUUUGGACGUUCAUAAGGGCUCUUUCCACGUCGACUGCAAACGGCUUACGGAGAAGUUCAAACUUAAUUUUCUAGGCUCCAAGCCAUUGCACUGCACUCUGGGAAUUGUAGUAUCAGUGGUGUAUGUAUUAUAUACUCGUGGGCCAGUUCUGAUAAACAAAUAAUAUUAUCUCAUGGGCCAGAUAAAACUGUACCACGGCGGCCAGUGGGCCUUGAAUUGGACUUGCAGUCCUCACAGUCGCAUUAUAUGUUCUAUGUUACAUCUGGACGGAGAUUUUUGUUGUGUUAUGACAUACAUGAUUACACAGAAGAACUUGCUCUGGAAUGUUCUGCUCCUCCGUCCGCUACACAUUUAUAUCAAGUGUCGUUUUGAUUUAGUUGUGCAAUGUUUCUUAAUGCAGGUUGAAGAAGGAACAUCUUGUCUUGAAAGUGUGUCACAAAACACAGAUCAUAUUUUUGUUCUGCAGUAUCUGUUUUUGAACCUACAGAGCAGACUCAGCGGGCCAGGCAGUCACAUAUGAUGUUUAGAUGGAGCCCUCAGCAGGUGUGAUGGAGGAUCUUCACAGUCAGCCAGAUGUGAUGGAGACACAGCUGCAGAGAGUCUUGGUUCACCCGCUGCAGACACAGUCAGGCGUGAUGGAGCUAUGUGAUCUGCAGACACUGUGGCUGCAGCUGCCACACAGAGAGAUGUUGGUCAGUGUGCUGGUGGGUUUCAGGUGCUCCUUGCCUCAGGUACAGGAGGUCAGUCUUGCCUCCUGGGUGAAUCCACCAUCCAAUCCAAGCCUUCAGAGGACAUCAAAGGACAAUAAUGGAGCAGCUUGAGCCUUUCCCCUAUCACAUUGUGAUUAUAUGAAUUAAAAAUACUGAAUUAAGUUAUUACUUU